GACGAACGCUGGCGGCGUGCUUAACACAUGCAAGUCGAACGGAAAGGCCCUGCUUUUGUGGGGUGCUCGAGUGGCGAACGGGUGAGUAACACGUGAGUAACCUGCCCUUGACUUUGGGAUAACUUCAGGAAACUGGGGCUAAUACCGGAUAGGAGCUCCUGCUGCAUGGUGUGUGUUGGAAAGUUUCGGCGGUUGGGGAUGGACUCGCGGCUUAUCAGCUUGUUGGUGGGGUAGUGGCUUACCAAGGCUUUGACGGGUAGCCGGCAUGAGAGGGUGACCGGCGACAUUGGGACUGAGAUACGGCCCAGACUCCUACGGGAGGCAGCAGUGGGGAAUAUUGCACAAUGGGCGGAAGCAUGAUGCAGCAACGCCGCGUGCGGGAUGACGGCCUUCGGGUUGUAAACCGAUUUCGCAUGUGACGAAGCGUGAGUGACGGUAAUGGGUAAAGAAGCACCGGCUAACUACGUG
rnacentral:rRNA from 1 species